rnacentral:rRNA from 1 species
ACCGUAAACUCCGCCCACAAAUUUAACAUCUAAUAUACUGUAUAAAACAUUUAAACAAUUUAGUAAAGGUGAUUAAAAAUUUAAUAAGAGCUACACAUAUAGUACCGCAAGGGAAAAGUGAAAUAGAAAUGAAAUAAAUUUAAAGUCAAUAAAAGCAGAGAUCAACACCCGUACCUUUUGCAUCAUGGUCUAGCUAGUCUAAACAAGCAAAUUAUAAUAUUCAACUUGUACCCCCGAAACCAGACGAGCUACUUAAAAACAGCUACUAGAGCCAACUCAUCUCUGUUGCAAAAGAGUGAGAAGAUUUUUAAGUAGAGGUGACAUGCCUACCGAGCCUGGAGAUAGCUGGUUGCUCAAAAAAGAACUUUAGUUCCCCCUCAAAUCUUAACAUGUAAUACUAAAUAUAUAUUUGAGAGCUAUUCAAAUAAGGUACAGCCUAUUUGAUACAGGAUACAACCUAAAAUUAAGGGUUAAAUACUUCCAACACCUAAGUAGGCCUAAGAGCAGCCACCUUUAAAAUAGCGUUAAAGCUUAAUCUGAUUACUGUUAUAAUAAUUUUCUAAAUACCAAACCCACCCACAAUAUUGAGCACCUCUAUAAUUUAUAAAUGUUAUUAUGCUAGAACUAGUAACAAGAAAAUUCUUCUCCUAAAUGUAAGUAUACAUCAAAUGAUAUUUAUUAUUUUUAAAUGUAGUAAAACCUCACCGAAAUCUUUACUAAUCUACUUUAUUAAACUUACACCAGAACACUACAGGAAAGAUUAAAACAAAAAGAAGGAACUCGGCAAACCCUAGUCUCGCCUGUUUACCAAAAACACCGCCUCUCGAUUAAUUAUAAGAGGCCCAGCCUGCCCAGUGAUAAUUUCAACGGCCGCGGUAUCCUAACCGUGCAAAGGUAGCACAAUAACUUGUUCUUUAAAUAAGGACUAGUAUGAAUGGCAUCACGAAGACUAUACUGUCUCCUUUCUACAAUCAGUGAAACUGAUCUUCCCGUGAAGAAGCGGGAAUUUAUAUAUAAGACGAGAAGACCCCAUGAAGCUUCAAAUUAAGUAUCACCUGCUACCAUAACAACACCUAAAUCUAGCAGACCUUAUAUUAAUUUUAGGUUGGGGUGACCACGGAGCAUAAUAAAGCCUCCCUAAUGAAAAGACUUAAUCUCCUAAUACAAGAAUAACAAUUCUAAUAAUCAACACAUUGACAUAACUUGAUCCAAUCUUUGAUCAAUGAACUAAGUUACUCUGGGGAUAACAGCGCAAUCCAUUUCAAGAGCCCCUAUCGACAAAUGGGUUUACGACCUCGAUGUUGGAUCAGGGUAUCCUAGUGGUGCAACCGCUACUAAAGGCUCGUUUGUUCAACGAUUAAAACCCUACGUGAUCUGAGUUCAGACCGGAGCAAUCCAGGUCGGUUUCUAUCUAUAUAUUUAAGCCUUUUCCAGUACGAAAGGACCGAAAAAGCACGGCCUAUGCAUAAGCAAGCCGUAACACCUCCCAUAAUGUUAUCUACUAAAUUAUAUAGGAAUUAUAUUAUAUCUCUAAACUAGAGC